rnacentral:rRNA from 1 species
GACGAACGCUGGCGGCGUGCUUAACACAUGCAAGUCGAACGGAAAGGCCCUGCUUUUGUGGGGUGCUCGAGUGGCGAACGGGUGAGUAACACGUGAGUAACCUGCCCUUGACUUUUGGAUAACUUCAGGAAACUGGGGCUAAUACCGGAUAGGAGCUCCUGCUGCAUGGUGGGGGUUGGAAAGUUUCGGCGGUUGGGGAUGGACUCGCGGCUUAUCAGCUUGUUGGUGGGGUAGUGGCUUACCAAGGCUUUGACGGGUAGCCGGCCUGAGAGGGUGACCGGCCACAUUGGGACUGAGAUACGGCCCAGACUCCUACGGGAGGCAGCAGUGGGGAAUAUUGCACAAUGGGCGGAAGCCUGAUGCAGCAACGCCGCGUGCGGGAUGACGGCCUUCGGGUUGUAAACCGCUUCCGCCUGUGACGAAGCGUGAGUGACGGUAAUGGGUAAAGAAGCACCGGCUAACUACGUG